rnacentral:rRNA from 1 species
GACGAACGCUGGCGGCGUGCUUAACACAUGCAAGUCGAACGGUAAGGCUCCAGCUUGCUGGGGUACACGAGUGGCGAACGGGUGAGUAACACGUGGGUGACCUGCCCUGCACUUCGGGAUAAGCCUGGGAAACUGGGUCUAAUACCGGAUAGGACCGCACCGUGAGGGUGUGGUGGAAAGUUUUUUCGGUGUGGGAUGGGCCCGCGGCCUAUCAGCUUGUUGGUGGGGUAAUGGCCUACCAAGGCGGCGACGGGUAGCCGGCCUGAGAGGGUGGACGGCCACAUUGGGACUGAGACACGGCCCAGACUCCUACGGGAGGCAGCAGUGGGGAAUAUUGCACAAUGGGCGGAAGCCUGAUGCAGCGACGCCGCGUGGGGGAUGACGGCCUUCGGGUUGUAAACUCCUUUCACCAUCGACGAAGGGUUUCUGACGGUAGAUGGAGAAGAAGCACCGGCUAACUACGUGCCAGCAGCCGCGGUAAUACGCAGGGUGCGAGCGUUGUCCGGAAUUACUGGGCGUAAAGAGCUCGUAGGUGGUUUGUCGCGUCGUCUGUGAAAUUCCGGGGCUUAACUCCGGGCGUGCAGGCGAUACGGGCAUAACUUGAGUACUGUAGGGGAGACUGGAAUUCCUGGUGUAGCGGUGAAAUGCGCAGAUAUCAGGAGGAACACCGGUGGCGAAGGCGGGUCUCUGGGCAGUAACUGACGCUGAGGAGCGAAAGCAUGGGGAGCGAACAGGAUUAGAUACCCUGGUAGUCCAUGCCGUAAACGGUGGGCGCUAGGUGUGGGUUUCCUUCCACGGGAUCCGUGCCGUAGCUAACGCAUUAAGCGCCCCGCCUGGGGAGUACGGCCGCAAGGCUAAAACUCAAAGGAAUUGACGGGGGCCCGCACAAGCGGCGGAGCAUGUGGAUUAAUUCGAUGCAACGCGAAGAACCUUACCUGGGCUUGACAUAUACAGGAUCGCGCCAGAGAUGGUGUUUCCCUUGUGGCUUGUAUACAGGUGGUGCAUGGUUGCCGUCAGCUCGUGUCGUGAGAUGUUGGGUUAAGUCCCGCAACGAGCGCAACCCUUGUCUUAUGUUGCCAGCACGUUGUGGUGGGGACUCGUAAGAAACUGCCGGGGUUAACUCGGAGGAAGGUGGGGAUGACGUCAAAUCAUCAUGCCCCUUAUGUCCAGGGCUUCACACAUGCUACAAUGGUCGGUACAGUGGGUUGCCAGUCCGUGAGGGCGAGCUAAUCCCGCAAAGCCGGUCUCAGUUCGGAUCGGGGUCUGCAACUCGACCCCGUGAAGUCGGAGUCGCUAGUAAUCGCAGAUCAGCAACGCUGCGGUGAAUACGUUCCCGGGCCU